CAGCGCCACAAGUGGCAAUCGUUAUUAUUGGGCCUAAAGCGUCCGUAGCCGGUUUAGUAAGUCUUUUGUGAAAUUGUUGUGCUUAACACAACACUGUGCAAAAGAUACUGCUAGACUUGGAACUGGGAGGAGUUAGGGGUAUUCCAAGGGGAGCGGUAAAAUGCUAUAAUCCUUGGAGGACCACCGGUGGCGAAAGCGCCUAACUAGAACAGAUUCGACGGUGAGGGACGAAAGCCAGGGGAGCAAACCGGAUUAGAUACCCGAGUAGUCC
rnacentral:rRNA from 1 species